UACGAAGGGGGCCAGCGUUACUCGGAUUGACUGGGCGUAAAGGGCGCGUAGGCGGUUUGUACAGUCAGACGUGAAAUUCCUGGGCUCAACCUGGGGGCUGCGUUUGAUACGUGCAGACUUGAGUUCGGAAGAGGGUCGUGGAAUUCCCAGUGUAGAGGUGAAAUUCGUAGAUAUUGGGAAGAACACCGGUGGCGAAGGCGGCGACCUGGUCCGAUACUGACGCUGAGGCGCGAAAGCUAGGGGAGCAAACGGG
rnacentral:rRNA from 1 species